GUGUAUAUGUCUGUGUGUCUGUGUAUGUGUCUCUGUGUUCAUAUAUACAUAUACAUACACAUAUACAUAUAUAC
rnacentral:miRNA from 14 species